AGAGUUAAAUAGCACGUGAAAUUGUUGAAAGGGAAACGAUUGAAGCCAGUCGUACCUGCGGACAAUCAGCUUUUUGGGUAUGAUUACGUGGGACGUGAGGAGUUAAACGCCCUCGCUUUUCGCGUAUUUGUGCUCUUGGGUGUACUUGCCCGCGCGGUAGGUUAACAUCAAUUUCGGACGUCAUAAAAUGGUUGGAGGAAUGUAGCUUCGAUCUCGUAUUGAAGUGUUAUAGCCUUCGGCAGAUGUGAUGAUCGGGAUUGAGGAUUGCAACGGAUACCUUUCGGGGCUACCCGUCUGAUCUCUGAUUGUUACUCUGGUGCCGAAAGCUUGCUUACGGUUAUCAAAGUUGAUGGUCAACAGGUUAGAACGGGUUAAAUUCGUUAAGGAUGUUGACGUAAUGGCUUUAAACGA
rnacentral:misc_RNA from 1 species